rnacentral:tRNA from 2 species
GGAAAGAGAGGGAUUCGACCC